rnacentral:rRNA from 1 species
AUUGAACGCUGGCGGCAUGCUUUACACAUGCAAGUCGAACGGUAACAGGCCUUCGGGUGCUGACGAGUGGCGAACGGGUGAGUAAUGCAUCGGAACAUACCCAGUCGUGGGGGAUAACGUAGCGAAAGUUACGCUAAUACCGCAUACGUCCUGAGGGAGAAAGCGGGGGAUCGCAAGACCUCGCGCGAUUGGAGUGGCCGAUGUCAGAUUAGCUAGUUGGUGGGGUAAAGGCCCACCAAGGCGACGAUCUGUAGCGGGUCUGAGAGGAUGAUCCGCCACACUGGGACUGAGACACGGCCCAGACUCCUACGGGUGGCAG